CGGACAUUAAAAAGACUCGAAGAAAACGGGAAAUAUUGAUUAGGAAGAUUUUUUUGUAGAGAAGGAUAGUAGAAAUCUAACCUGAAAAAAGAAGUCGCGUUGGCUGUUGAAACGCUGUUAAGUCGGAAGAGAGAAAAAUAUUAGUUGACUGUUGAGGUUAAUGUAGGCCAAUAAUUGUGCGUUUUGUACGUCCCGAGAUUGUUGAUCUCGAAAUAUAUAUAUAUUAUAGAUCUGCUG